AGAGUUUGAUCCUGGCUCAGAAUCAACGCUGGCGGCGUGCCUAACACAUGCAAGUCGAACGCGAAAGGGGCUUCGGCCCUGAGUAGAGUGGCGAACGGGUGAGUAACGCGUGGGUGAUCUACCUUUGAGUGGGGGAUAACGCUCCGAAAGGAGCGCUAAUACCGCAUGACGUUCUGGAUUUGAACAUCUGGAAACCAAAGCCGGGGACCGCAAGGCCUGGCGCUUGGAGAGGAGCCCGCGUCUGAUUAGCUAGUUGGCGGGGUAACGGCCCACCAAGGCGACGAUCAGUAGCCGGCCUGAGAGGGCGGACGGCCACACUGGGACUGAGACACGGCCCAGACUCCUACGGGAGGCAGCAGUGGGGAAUUGUUCGCAAUGGGCGCAAGCCUGACGACGCAACGCCGCGUGGGGGAUGAAGGUCUUCGGAUUGUAAACCCCUGUCGAGCGGGACGAAUAGCCCGCGACCUAAUACGUCGUGGGAAUGACGGUACCGCUAAAGGAAGCCACGGCUAACUCUGUGCCAGCAGCCGCGGUAAUACAGAGGUGGCAAGCGUUGUUCGGAAUUACUGGGCGUAAAGGGCGCGUAGGCGGCCUUCUAAGUCAGACGUGAAAUCCCCCGGCUUAACCUGGGAACUGCGUCUGAUACUGGGAGGCUAGAGUGCGGGAGAGGGAUGCGGAAUUCCAGGUGUAGCGGUGAAAUGCGUAGAUAUCUGGAGGAACACCGGUGGCGAAGGCGGCAUCCUGGACCGACACUGACGCUGAGGCGCGAAAGCUAGGGUAGCAAACGGGAUUAGAUACCCCGGUAGUCCUAGCCCUAAACGAUG
rnacentral:rRNA from 1 species